rnacentral:misc_RNA from 1 species
GAUGAAGAACGUAGCGAAAUGCGAUAAGUAAUGUGAAUUGCAGAAUUCAGUGAAUCAUCGAACCUUUGAACGCACCUUGCGCCCUUUGGCCAUUCCGAAGGGCAUGCCUGUUUGAGUAUCAUGAACACCUCAACUCUUUAUGGUUUUCCAUGAUGAGCUUGGACUCUGGGGGUUUUGCUGGCUCACAGUCGGCUCCUCUAAAAUGAAUCAGCUUACCAGUGUUUGGUGGGUAUCAUGGGUGUGAUAACUAUCUACGCUUGUGGUUUUUCCACCAGGUAACCUUCAGCAGUGGAGGUUCGCUGGAGCUCAUAGAUGUCUCUCCUCAGUGAGGACAGCCCUUUGAAUGUUUGAUCUCAAAUCAGGUAGGACUACCCGCUGAACUUAAGCAUAUCAAUAAGCGGAGGA